UACGUAGGGUGCGAGCGUUGUCCGGAAUUAUUGGGCGUAAAGAGCUUGUAGGCGGUUUGUCGCGUCUGCUGUGAAAAUCCGGGGCUCAACCCCGGACUUGCAGUGGGUACGGGCAGACUUGAGUUCGGUAGGGGAGACUGGAAUUCCUGGUGUAGCGGUGAAAUGCGCAGAUAUCAGGAGGAACACCGGUGGCGAAGGCGGGUCUCUGGGCCGAUACUGACGCUGAGGAGCGAAAGCGUGGGGAGCGAACAGG
rnacentral:rRNA from 1 species